UAGUCUUUUGUUUGGAUAAGACAUGUCAACAUGAAUGAAAGGGUAUCACGUGGUGUAUAGAAAGGUUCACCGAAAAGAGAAGCUUAAAUCUGGCUUUGAGACAUGCUCAUUCCUUAUUUCUCAAUAUAAUAUUACAGUAAUAAUAACUAUAUUUGUUCCACAAUUUCUCCAGUGCGGUCGGUUUCGGCCAUCGAUAGCCAGUAAAUUUCAAAACCGCCACCGACCAUGGCCAACUGCUUGUAACCACAAUUUCUUAUCAGGCAACCUGAAGCCCAAUAUAACCCGCCCGAGUCUCGGUCGGCCUGUGCAGUUUUAACGGGUCUCGGUCGGUCUGAACAUUCUUGCUCAGCCCUAAAACCAGGUGAGCAGAUGAAAAAAUAAUGGCUCAAUCCUCAAAGUGAGUAUGAAGACUCAUUGCGAGUUUUGCGCACAGAAAGAAUUUAAUGGGGCGGCAAAGUAUUCUAUUAUGUUUUCCUCAGUUCCACUCUUUUAACAAUGUGUACUAAUAACAUGUUUCAAAAAGCACUAUAA
rnacentral:lncRNA from 1 species